UUGAAAUAUUCAUCUUAUUCAGCACAUCUACUUUUCUCUGUUCACGUUCAACGGAAAUUCCAAUAUGUGAACAUAUCUCCAGAAAGUGUUGUUCUAAUUACAAGUGGAAUAACGAAACCCAAACAUGCGAAAAAUGUUUAUCGGGAUUUAGUGGAAAAAACUGCAGUCUACCGUGUCCUUAUCCUUUUUACGGAGACAACUGUCAAGGAAAGUGUGAAUGUGACAAUGAUACUUGUGACAUUUCCACUGGUUGUAGAGUAGUUACCGCUGAUACACGAAUUAUUUCUUUGGUAACAAACGC